rnacentral:rRNA from 1 species
UACGAAGGGGGCUAGCGUUGUUCGGAAUUCCUGGGCGUAAAGCGACCGUAGGCGGUGUUCCCUGUCAGAGGUGAAAGCCUGGGGCUCAACUCCAGAAUUGCCUUUGAAACGGGAACGCUUGAGUCCGAGAGAGGGUGGCGGAAUUCCUAGUGUAGAGGUGAAAUUCGUAGAUAUUAGCAGGAACACCGGUGGCGAAAGCGGCUAUCUGGAUCGCAACUGACGCUGAGGCGCGAAAGCGUGGGGAUCAAACAGG